AGGCAGUGAGGCAUAAACUGUUGGGACAUACCGCUCGGGGCCACUGCUGUCUGGGACUGAAACACUGGCAUUGUACUGCAUUGGUCAUUGGCGUUCGUGGAUGUUGGCAUUGGGCAUGGGCAUUCAAUCAGAAGUUGUCAAGUAUGGUACCCGUUUGGCAACGAGCACAUUUUUGGGCAUAGCCAACCAGGGUUUUCACAUGGGCGUUCAGGGGCGGAUGGGCCAACGUCAUGGUGGGCAACGCAGGGGUAAGUCGAUCCAGUACAUGGGCAACGGAGAUAUAUGGCCAAAAAAACAAGGAGAGGGAAAAGGGGGAAAAGCAAUAAAUUUUAAUUUAAUACAAACUA
rnacentral:lncRNA from 1 species